GACAGAGGGUGCAAACGUUGUUCGGAAUUACUGGGCGUAAAGCGUGUGUAGGUGACUGCGUAAGUCGGAUGUGAAAGCCCUGGGCUCAACUCAGGAAGUGCACUCGAUACUGCGUAGCUCGAGUACCGGAGAGGUUGGUAGAAUUCUCGGUGUAGAGGUGAAAUUCGUAGAUAUCGAGAGGAAUACCUGUGGCGAAGGCGGCCAACUGGACGAGUACUGACACUGAGACACGAAAGCGUGGGGAGCAAACAGG
rnacentral:rRNA from 1 species